rnacentral:rRNA from 1 species
AUCGAGCUAAGACGAAAAGUCUCCGAACGUGCACGCAUUCCAUGUGCGCGUAUACGUGAGCCGCACAGUGAGCUGCACACAUGUGGUGGUGGUGGCCGUCAGCCGUGUUUUUUUGGCAGACAAUGGUCUGUGGCUUGCUGUGUGUUGAGGGGGGAUAGGUGACGUAUUGGGCUAGUUAGAAAGGUACGUCGCUGGCGCCUAUCCUCUCGUUAUUCGUAAAAACGGUAUCCACUUUGGUGUCUGCGCCUCACCUAGCUAUUGCCUGGACCGUCGGUAGCUAUCAAAGGUGGGGAGGAAGCUCCUUGUCUUCAUGGCGAGUCGAGUAGACUUAAUGAGCCUCAGCGAGGAGGCCACCAAAACCCAAACACAACCAGUCUUUUGUUUGAAGUGUUGUGAAGGUACUUCCUCGUGUUGUGCCUUUGAAAUCGAGUA